CGCUCGGUAGUCUAACGGUAGAGCGACCGCGUCGGAUGCGAAGGGUCGCGGGUUCGAACCCCGGCCGAGUUA